rnacentral:misc_RNA from 1 species
AACGCACCUUGCGCCCUUUGGUAAUCCGAGGGGCAUGCCUGUUUGAGUGUCUUGAAGCUCUCAAAUGUUUUAUUUAUUUAAAAUGUUUGGAUUUGGGUGUCUUUGCCGGUCGUAAGAUCGGCUCACCCUAAAUGCAUUAGCUGGCUUUUGGGUCCGCGAACUCGGUGUGAUAAUUGUCACUCGCUGGGUUAGUAGACUUUAUAACGAAGCUGCUUCUAAUCGUCUUCUCGGAGACAACACAUCUAAGUGUUUGACCUCAAAUCAGGUAGGACUACCCGCUGAACUUAA